rnacentral:rRNA from 1 species
GACGUAGGUGGCGAACGUUAUCCGGAAUUAUUGGGCGUAAAGGGUGCGUAGAUGGCCUGACAAGUUAACAGUGGUAAAUCGAGGCUCAACCUCGUGGAAACUGAUAAUACUGUCUGGCUCGAGUGCAGAAGAGGUUAACGGAAUUCCAUGUGGAGCGGUAAAAUGCAUAGAUAUAUGGAAGAACACCAAUAACGGCGAAGGCAGUUAACUAUUCUGUUACUGACAUUGAGGCACGAAAGCGUGGGGAGCAAUCCGG